rnacentral:rRNA from 1 species
GAUGAACGCUGGCGGCGUGCCUAAUACAUGCAAGUCGAGCGAACAGACGAGGAGCUUGCUCCUCUGACGUUAGCGGCGGACGGGUGAGUAACACGUGGAUAACCUACCUAUAAGACUGGGAUAACUUCGGGAAACCGGAGCUAAUACCGGAUAAUAUAUUGAACCGCAUGGUUCAAUAGUGAAAGACGGUUUUGCUGUCACUUAUAGAUGGAUCCGCGCCGCAUUAGCUAGUUGGUAAGGUAACGGCUUACCAAGGCGACGAUGCGUAGCCGACCUGAGAGGGUGAUCGGCCACACUGGAACUGAGACACGGUCCAGACUCCUACGGGAGGCAGCAGUAGGGAAUCUUCCGCAAUGGGCGAAGGCCUGACGGAGCAACGCCGCGUGAGUGAUGAAGGUCUUCGGAUCGUAAAACUCUGUUAUUAGGGAAGAACAAAUGUGUAAGUAACUAUGCACGUCUUGACGGUACCGAAUCAGAAAGCCACGGCUAACUACGU